UAGGGAAUCUUCCGCAAUGGGCGAAAGCUUGACGGAGCAACGCCGCGUGAGUGAUGAAGGUCUUCGGAUCGUAAAACUCCGUUAUUAGGGAAGAACAAAUGUGUAAGUAACUAUGCACGUCUUGACGGUACCUAAUCAGAAAGCCACGGCUAACUACGUGCCAGCAGCCGCGGUAAUACGUAGGUGGCAAGCGUUAUCCGGAAUUAUUGGGAGUAAAGCGCGCGUAGGCGGUUUUUUAAGUCUGAUGUGAAAGCCCACGGCUCAACCGUGGAGGGUCAUUGGAAACUGGAAAACUUGGGUGCAGAAGAGGAAAGUGGAAUUCCAUGUGUAGCGGUGAAAUGCGCAGCGAUAUGGAGGAACACCAGUGGCGAAGGCGACUUUCUGGUCUGUAACUGACGCUGAUGUGCGAAAGCGUGGGGAUCAAACAGG
rnacentral:rRNA from 1 species